UACAGAGGGGGCAAGCGUUGUUCGGAAUUACUGGGCGUAAAGGGCGCGUAGGCGGCCUGUUAAGUCGAACGUGAAAGCCCGGGGCUCAACUCCGGAACUGCCUUUAAGACUGCAUCGCUUGAAUCCAGGAGAGGUGAGUGGAAUUCCGAGUGUAGAGGUGAAAUUCGUAGAUAUUCGGAAGAACACCAGUGGCGAAGGCGGCUCACUGGACUGGUAUUGACGCUGAGGUGCGAAAGCGUGGGGAGCAAACAGG
rnacentral:rRNA from 1 species